rnacentral:rRNA from 1 species
UUUAACUGAAGAGUUUGAUCAUGGCUCAGAUUGAACGCUGGCGGCAGGCUUAACACAUGCAAGUCGAGCGGGGGAAGGUAGCUUGCUACUGGACCUAGCGGCGGACGGGUGAGUAAUGCUUAGGAAUCUGCCUAUUAGUGGGGGACAACAUCUCGAAAGGGAUGCUAAUACCGCAUACGUCCUACGGGAGAAAGCAGGGGAUCUUCGGACCUUGCGCUAAUAGAUGAGCCUAAGUCGGAUUAGCUAGUUGGUGGGGUAAAGGCCUACCAAGGCGACGAUCUGUAGCGGGUCUGAGAGGAUGAUCCGCCACACUGGGACUGAGACACGGCCCAGACUCCUACGGGAGGCAGCAGUGGGGAAUAUUGGACAAUGGGGGGAACCCUGAUCCAGCCAUGCCGCGUGUGUGAAGAAGGCCUUAUGGUUGUAAAGCACUUUAAGCGAGGAGGAGGCUACUUUAGUUAAUACCUAGAGAUAGUGGACGUUACUCGCAGAAUAAGCACCGGCUAACUCUGUGCCAGCAGCCGCGGUAAUACAGAGGGUGCGAGCGUUAAUCGGAUUUACUGGGCGUAAAGCGUGCGUAGGCGGCUUAUUAAGUCGGAUGUGAAAUCCCCGAGCUUAACUUGGGAAUUGCAUUCGAUACUGGUGAGCUAGAGUAUGGGAGAGGAUGGUAGAAUUCCAGGUGUAGCGGUGAAAUGCGUAGAGAUCUGGAGGAAUACCGAUGGCGAAGGCAGCCAUCUGGCCUAAUACUGACGCUGAGGUACGAAAGCAUGGGGAGCAAACAGGAUUAGAUACCCUGGUAGUCCAUGCCGUAAACGAUGUCUACUAGCCGUUGGGGCCUUUGAGGCUUUAGUGGCGCAGCUAACGCGAUAAGUAGACCGCCUGGGGAGUACGGUCGCAAGACUAAAACUCAAAUGAAUUGACGGGGGCCCGCACAAGCGGUGGAGCAUGUG